UUGACCUCAAAUCAGGUAGGACUACCCGCUGAACUUAAGCAUAUCAAUAAGCCGGAGGAAGAA
rnacentral:rRNA from 1 species